UCCGAGUUGACCCCGGCAGUCUCCUGCGAGUCCCCGGCAUUACCCGCUGGCAGCACAGGACAAGGGUUGCGCUCGUUGCGGGACUUAACCCAACAUCUCACGGCACGAGCUGACGACAACCGUGCACCACCUGUGCAGGGCCCCGAAGGACACCGUAUCUCUACGGCUUUUCCCUGCAUGUCAAGCCUAGGUAAGGUUCUUCGCGUUGCAUCGAAUUAAUCCGCAUGCUCCGCCGCUUGUGCGGGCCCCCGUCAAUUCCUUUGAGUUUUAGCCUUGCGGCCGUACUCCCCAGGCGGGGCACUUAAUGCGUUAGCUACGGCGCGGAAAACGUGGAAUGUCCCCCACACCUAGUGCCCAACGUUUACGGCAUGGACUAC
rnacentral:misc_RNA from 1 species